rfam:Triticum aestivum genome assembly, contig: Triticum_aestivum_CS42_TGACv1_scaffold_320628_4BL
UAAGUACUCCCUUCGUCUGAAAAUACUUGUCAUCAAAAUAGAUAAAAGGAGAUGUAUCUAGAUGUAUUUUAGUUCUAAAUACAUCUCUCUUUAUUCAUUUUGAUGACAAGUAUUUUUGGACGGAGGGAGUAGGAA